GAUGAAGAACGUAGCGAAAUGCGAUACGUAAUGUGAAUUGCAAAUUCAGUGAAUCAUCGAGUCUUUGAACGCACAUUGCGCCCCCUGGUAUUCCGGGGGGCAUGCCUGUCCGAGCGUCAUUGCUGCCCUCAAGCACGGCUUGUGUGUUGGGCCCCGUCCUCCGAUUCCGGGGGACGGGCCCGAAAGGCAGCGGCGGCACCGCGUCCGGUCCUCGAGCGUAUGGGGCUUUGUCACCCGCUCUGUAGGCCCGGCCGGCGCUUGCCGAUCAACCCAAAUUUUUAUCUAGGUUGACCUCGGAUCAGGUAGGGAUACCCGCUGAACUUAAGCAUAUCAAUAAGCGGAGGA
rnacentral:misc_RNA from 1 species